UGGGGAAUUUUGGACAAUGGGCGAAAGCCUGAUCCAGCAAUGCCGCGUGUGUGAAGAAGGCCUUCGGGUUGUAAAGCACUUUUGUCCGGAAAGAAAUCCUUGGCUCUAAUACAGUCGGGGGAUGACGGUACCGGAAGAAUAAGCACCGGCUAACUACGUGCCAGCAGCCGCGGUAAUACGUAGGGUGCAAGCGUUAAUCGGAAUUACUGGGCGUAAAGCGUGCGCAGGCGGUUUGCUAAGACCGAUGUGAAAUCCCGGGCUCAACCUGGGAACUGCAUUGGUGACUGGCAGGCUAGAGUAUGGCAGAGGGGGGUAGAAUUCCACGUGUAGCAGUGAAAUGCGUAGAGAUGUGGAGGAAUACCGAUGGCGAAGGCAGCCCCCUGGGCCAAUACUGACGCUCAUGCACGAAAGCGUGGGGAGCAAACAGGAUUAGAUACCCUGGUAGUCCACGCCCUAAAACGAUGUCAACUAGUUGUUGGGGAUUCAUUUCCUUAGUAACGUAGCUAACGCGUGAAGUUGACCGCCUGGGGAGUACGGUCGCAAGAUUAAAACUCAAAUGAAUUGACGGGGUCAUAGCUGUUUCCU
rnacentral:rRNA from 1 species